CAAACAUUCCUAUUGUCAAGCAAAAACAGGUGCAUGUCUACAUUGUGAAUCUGGAUUCUACGGUCAUCAAUGUGAACUGAAAUGUGAUGGGGGAAGAUAUGGACAAGACUGUAGAGAGACAUGUGGAGCGUGUCUGGGAUAUAAACAAUGCCAUCACAUCAAUGGUACUUGCCUUGACGGAUGUGAUGCUGGAUAUGAGGGACAACUUUGUAAAACGGGAUGUUCUGCUGGAAAGUUCGGUUUUGACUGUCAAAAGAAUUGUAAUGAACACUGUAAAGUACCAUAUAAAUGUAACAAAGGGACAGGAGAAUGUGAGGAUGGUUGUCAGCCUGGCUGGG